AUUGAACGCUGGCGGCAGGCUUAACACAUGCAAGUCGAGCGGGGGAAGGUAGCUUGCUACCGGACCUAGCGGCGGACGGGUGAGUAAUGCUUAGGAAUCUGCCUAUUAGUGGGGGACAACAUCUCGAAAGGGAUGCUAAUACCGCAUACGUCCUACGGGAGAAAGCAGGGGAUUUUCGGACCUGGCGCUAAUAGAUGAGCCUAGGCCGGAUUAGCUAGUUGGUGGGGUAAAGGCCUACCAAGGCGACGAUCUGUAGCGGGUCUGAGAGGAUGAUCCGCCACACUGGGACUGAGACACGGCCCAGACUCCUACGGGAGGCAGCAGUGGGGAAUAUUGGACAAUGGGGGGAACCCUGAUCCAGCCAUGCCGCGUGUGUGAAGAAGGCCUUAUGGUUGUAAAGCACUUUAAGCGAGGAGGAGGCUACUUUAGUUAAUACCUAGAGAUAGUGGACGUUACUCGCAGAAUAAGCACCGGCUAACUCUGUGCCAGCCGCCGCAGUAA
rnacentral:rRNA from 1 species